GCCCUGAUGGGGGCACCAAACCCGAAUGGCCCCAGACGACUCUGCAGCCACGGACGAAAAAGAUGGGUCGAUACGAUAGCAAUCGGGUACCUCCGAACGACACAAAGGCCGAAAAGAAGCUCAGCAAACGAUAAUUCAACACAUGAGUAAAAGAGGUAGUGAAAAAUUACCUUCUCGUAUGCAUUAUAGAGCCAUUGAGGUUGAAGGAAAGGGAUAACUAAAAGGCGAGCCGGCAUGGCAACCACCGAUAACC
rnacentral:lncRNA from 1 species